rnacentral:rRNA from 1 species
UACGAAGGGGGCUAGCGUUGCUCGGAAUCACUGGGCGUAAAGCGCACGUAGGCGGAUUGUUAAGUCAGGGGUGAAAUCCUGGAGCUCAACUCCAGAACUGCCUUUGAUACUGGCGAUCUCGAGUCCGGGAGAGGUGAGUGGAACUGCGAGUGUAGAGGUGAAAUUCGUAGAUAUUCGCAAGAACACCAGUGGCGAAGGCGGCUCACUGGCCCGGU